rnacentral:lncRNA from 1 species
GCGCCUGACGAACGCGAACAGCUUCAUCGGUUUCUUCUAGUGCUGGCGCUAUGAACGUGAGCUAUUUCUUGCACCAGCUGCCACCAGGGAGGCUUUGUCAUGUCUCAUGAGGCUCCGGCCGAUGAUGCUUAUUAUAUCCUUGUAGGUUUGCACCACUUGCUAAUUGCUAAUAGAAAAGACCAAACUGACCUUGUUCCUUGCGAUUUAUUCAUACGUUGUCAACUUUCGUCUGAGAAGAAAUAUAUAAAAGUAACAAACU